UGGGAUAUUUAGGAGAAAAAGGAGGGUU
rnacentral:piRNA from 1 species